AAAAAAAAACAACCAGAAGCCUUUUUGCUAGGGAUUGUAGGACAAGACCUGCCAAGGAAAACAAAGAACUUAUUUAUGUAUGCUACAACAGUCGCAAGAGUUUUGAUAGCACAAGGAUAGAAGAAUGAAGAAAUCCCGACGAAAGAACAGUGGCAAGAGAAACUGAUGAACUAUGCAGAACUGGCUAAAUUGAGGUACAAAUUGUGAGACAAGGACAAUUUUGACUUCAAAGAAGAAUGGAAGCUUUUUACAAAUUACUUAAAAAGACAACAAAAAGAACUGGACUCUUUGGCAGGUUUUGAAUAAACAUUCACAAAUUUUAUUAGUUGAAUAUAUGAUAGAUAAGACAAAGAUAUGUACAAUUUUAUAAUAUGCAGAGAAUAAAAUGCGUUGAGAAAUCAGAGAAAGGAGCUGAGGGAAGUCUUUGGGGGAGGGGGUUGAGGGCGGAGGGGGAAAAGAAUGUAUGUAAUAAUAUGACUGAUAAUUGAUUAUGUUAAAAUUGCUUAAUAAAAAAAUUAUAUAUUUUUUUUUUUUAAAUAUUUUUUAUUGCAUUUUUCCAGAUAGAAAUACAAGGUCAGAUAUACAAAGAAAUAACAGAAAAGAGAAAGAAAAAGAAGAAAAUCAUCUUUCCAAAGCAUUUUUCCAUAACCAACCGGACUUCCCCCCGUCCCCCUCACCUUGCGUUCUUUACAAUAAAAUUUUUCAGCAAAUUAUAACCUUAUUUCAUGCAUUCUUUUGUUCUUUCAAAUACUUGUGAUUUACGUUUAAAAUGCUUAUUGUCAAUUUACACUAAUCAUAUAUAUAAUGUUCUUUUAAACGUUAGUCCUUUCAUUAAUAUAGCUUAGUUUCCCAUACCUUAAUCUUAUUGCUGGAGCUGAAUUCCGUAAUCAUGCGACUUCUUAACAUUCAUAUUACUUAUAAAUUUUUGUAAAUAAUCUUUAAAUUUUUCCAAUCCUCCUCCAUUGCUUCUUCCUCCAAAUCUCGGAUCCUGGCAGUCAUCUCGCCAAUUCCAUGUAGCCCAUCAAUUGCGUCUGCCACUCUUCCAGUGUGGGUAAAUCUUGAAUCUUCCAGUAUUUUGCGAUAAGAAUUCUUGCUGCUGUAGUUGCAUACAUAAAAAGGUUCUAUCCUUCUUUAACACCUUCUGACCGACAAUGCCCAGUAGGAAGGCCUCUGGUUUCUUGGGAAAAGUGUACUUAAACACUUUUUUAACUCAUUAUAGAUCAUUUCCCAGAAGGCCUUCACUUUUGGGCAAGUCCACCAGAGGUGAAAGAAUGUCCCUUCAGCCUCCUUACAUUUCCAACAUUUAUUAUCAGACAAAUGAUAUAUCUUAGCAAGCUUGACUGGGGUCAUGUACCACCUGUAUAUCAUUUUCAUAAUAUUCUCUUUCAAGGCAUUACAUGCCGUGAAUUUCAUACCAGUGGUCCAUAACCUUUCCCAGUCUUCAAACAUAAUGUUGUACCCAAUGUCCUGAGCCCAUUUUAUCAUGGCUGAUUUGACUGGCUAAAUUGAGGUACAAAUUGUGAGACAAGGACAAUUUUGACUUCACAGAAGAAUGGGAGCUUUUUACAAAUUACUUAAAAAGACAACAAAAAGAAUUGGACUCUUUGGCAGGUUUUGAAUAAACAUUCACAAAUUUUAUUAGUUGAAUAUAUGAUAGAUAAGACAAAGAUAUGUACAAUUUUAUAAUAUGC
rnacentral:lncRNA from 1 species